ensembl:lncRNA
GAUAACCAGUCUAGUACAGCUACAUUAGAGAGGAGUGGGGACCAGUCUAGUACAGCUACAUUAGAGAGGAGGAGGGAGAACCAGUCUAGUACAGCUACAUUAGAGAGGAGGAGGGACAACCAAUCUAGUACAGCUACAUUAGAGAGGAGAAGGAGUGAGAACCAGUCUAGUACAUCUACAUUAGAGAGGAGGAGGAGGGAGAGCCAGUCUAGUAAAGCAACAUUAGAGAGGAGGAGAAGGGAGAACCAGUCUAGUAUAGCUACAUUAGAGAGGAGGAUUAGGGAGAACCUGUAUAGUAUAGCUACAUUAAAGAGGAGGACGAGCGAGAACCAGUCUAUUAUAGAUACAUUAGAGAGCAGGAGGAGGGAGAACCAAUCUAGUACAGCUUCAUUAGAGAGGAGGAGGAGAGAGAACCAGUCUAGUACAGCUACAUUAGAGAGGAGGAGGAGGAGGGAGAACCAGUCUAGUAUAGCAACAUAAUAGAGGAGGAGGGACAACCAGUCUAGUAGAGCUACAUUAGAGAGGAGGAGGAGGGACAACCAGUCUAGUAUAGAUACAUUAGUGAGGAGGAUGGAGAACCAGUCAUGUACAGCUAUAUUAGAGAGGAGAAGAGAGAACCAGUCUAGUAUAGCUACAUUAGAGAGGAGGAAGAGGGAGAACCAGUCUAGUAUAGCUACAUUAGAGAGGAGGAGGAAGGAGAACCAUUCUAGUACAGCUACAUUAAAGAGGAGGAGGAGGGAGAACCAGUCUAUGAUAGAUACAUUAGAGAGGAGGAGGGAAAACCAGUCUAGUAUAGAUACAUUAGAGAGGAGGAGGAGGGAGAACCAGUCUAGUAUAGCCACAUUAGAGAGGAGGAGGAGGGAAAACCAGUCUAGUAUAGAUAUAUUAGAGAGGAGGAGGGAGAACCUGUAUAGUACAUCUACAUUAAAGAGGAGGACGAGCGAGAACCAGUCUAUUAUAGACACAUUAGAGAGGAGGAGGGAGAACCGAUCCAGUACAGCUACAUUAGAGAGGAGGAGGAGAGAUAACCAGUCUAGUACAGCUACAUUAGAGAGGAGGAGGGAGAACCAGUCUACCAUAGCUAAAUUAAAGAGGAGGAGGGAGAACCAGUCUAGUAGAGCUACAUUAGAGAGGAGGAGGAGGGAGAACCAGUCUAGUACAGCAACAUAAUAGAGGAGGGACAACCAGUCUAGUAGAGCUACAUUAGAGAGGAGGAGGGACAACCAGUCUAGUGUAUAUACAUUAGAGAGGAGGAGGAGGGACAACCAGUACAGUAUAGAUACAUUAGAGAGGAGGAUGGAGAACCAGUCAUGUACAGCUAUAUUAGAGAGGAGGAGAGAGAAGCAGUC